rnacentral:rRNA from 1 species
GAUUGAACGCUGGCGGCAGGCCUAACACAUGCAAGUCGGACGGUAGCACAGAGAGCUUGCUCUCGGGUGACGAGUGGCGGACGGGUGAGUAAUGUCUGGGAAACUGCCCGAUGGAGGGGGAUAACUACUGGAAACGGUAGCUAAUACCGCAUAACGUCUUCGGACCAAAGUGGGGGACCUUCGGGCCUCACACCAUCGGAUGUGCCCAGAUGGGAUUAGCUAGUAGGUGGGGUAAUGGCUCACCUAGGCGACGAUCCCUAGCUGGUCUGAGAGGAUGACCAGCCACACUGGAACUGAGACACGGUCCAGACUCCUACGGGAGGCAGCAGUGGGGAAUAUUGCACAAUGGGCGCAAGCCUGAUGCAGCCAUGCCGCGUGUAUGAAGAAGGCCUUCGGGUUGUAAAGUACUUUCAGCGGGGAGGAAGGCGAUGGAGUUAAUAGCUUCAUCGAUUGACGUUACCCGCAGAAGAAGCACCGGCUAACUCCGUGCCAGCAGCCGCGGUAAUACGGAGGGUGCAAGCGUUAAUCGGAAUUACUGGGCGUAAAGCGCACGCAGGCGGUCUGUCAAGUCGGAUGUGAAAUCCCCGGGCUUAACCUGGGAACUGCAUUCGAAACUGGCAGGCUAGAGUCUUGUAGAGGGGGGUAGAAUUCCCAGGUGUAGCGGUGAAAUGCGUAGAGAUCUGGAGGAAUACCGGUGGCGAAGGCGGCCCCCUGGACAAAGACUGACGCUCAGGUGCGAAAGCGUGGGGAGCAAACAGGAUUAGAUACCCUGGUAGUCCACGCCGUAAACGAUGUCGACUUGGAGGUUGUGCCCUUGAGGCGUGGCUUCCGGAGCUAACGCGUUAAGUCGACCGCCUGGGGAGUACGGCCGCAAGGUUAAAACUCAAAUGAAUUGACGGGGGCCCGCACAAGCGGUGGAGCAUGUGGUUUAAUUCGAUGCAACGCGAAGAACCUUACCUACUCUUGACAUCCAGCGAAUUCGGUAGAGAUACCUUAGUGCCUUCGGGAACGCUGAGACAGGUGCUGCAUGGCUGUCGUCAGCUCGUGUUGUGAAAUGUUGGGUUAAGUCCCGCAACGAGCGCAACCCUUAUCCUUUGUUGCCAGCGGUCCGGCCGGGAACUCAAAGGAGACUGCCAGUGAUAAACUGGAGGAAGGUGGGGAUGACGUCAAGUCAUCAUGGCCCUUACGAGUAGGGCUACACACGUGCUACAAUGGCGCAUACAAAGAGAAGCGACCUCGCGAGAGCAAGCGGACCUCAUAAAGUGCGUCGUAGUCCGGAUUGGAGUCUGCAACUCGACUCCAUGAAGUCGGAAUCGCUAGUAAUCGUAGAUCAGAAUGCUACGGUGAAUACGUUCCCGGGCCUUGUACACACCGC